rnacentral:rRNA from 1 species
CCCUUAGACGUUCUGGGCCGCACGCGCGCUACACUGACGAAGGCAACGAGCUUUCCUUUACCGAAAGGUACGGGUAAUCUUUUGAAACUUCGUCGUGCUGGGGAUAGAUCCUUGCAAUUUUUGAUCUUAAACGAGGAAUGCCUAGUAAGCGCAAGUCAUCAACUUGCGUUGAUUACGUCCCUGCCCUUUGUACACACCGCCCGUCGCUACUACCGAUUGAAUGGUUUAGUGAGGCCUUCGGAUCCGCGACUCGUUUGUGGAGAAGUUGGACAGACUCAGUCAUUUAGAGGAAGUAAAAGUCGUAACA